UACGUAGGGGGCAAGCGUUGUCCGGAAUCAUUGGGCGUAAAGAGCGUGUAGGCGGCCCGAUAAGUCCGCUGUGAAAGUCCAGGGCUCAACCCUGGGAUGCCGGUGGAUACUGUCGGGCUCGAGUCCGGAAGAGGAGAGUGGAAUUCCUGGUGUAGCGGUGAAAUGCGCAGAUAUCAGGAGGAACACCCGUGGCGAAAGCGGCUCUCUGGGACGGUACUGACGCUGAGACGCGAAAGCGUGGGGAGCAAACAGG
rnacentral:rRNA from 1 species